rnacentral:rRNA from 1 species
UACGGGGGGUGCGAGCGUUGUCCGGAUUUAUUGGGUUUAAAGGGUGCGUAGGCGGCCCGUUAAGUCAGUGGUGAAAGCCUCCAGCUCAACUGGAGAACUGCCAUUGAUACUGGCGGGCUUGAGUACAGACGAGGUUGGCGGAAUUGAUUGUGUAGCGGUGAAAUGCAUAGAUACAAUCAAGAACACCGAUUGCGUAGGCAGCUAACUAGGCUGUAACUGACGCUGAGGCACGAAAGCGUGGGGAGCGAACAGG